CCUUCUCAAAUUUGCAAACGGAGAAUUGGGAAUGGGAACUCUAGAUUUCAUUAAGAAACCCAUUCUACAUGUUGGUUUGUUCUCAAGGGGGACCCAAGUUCAAGUUCUUAUACGGGAUGAAACUGAAAUUGCUGUUGUGUGACCAAAAGAUCAACAGUGUUCUUUCCAGAUUCCUGUUGUAGAUACGUCAAGUUUCAGAAAGUGGCCUUUGAAAGCUGCCAAUCUUCUGUCAUAUUCUGAUAAGAAACUAGAUAUCAUACAGAG